UUGGAGGGCAAGUCUGGUGCCAGCAGCCGCGGUAAUUCCAGCUCCAAUAGCGUAUAUUAAAGUUGUUGCAGUUAAAAAGCUCGUAGUUGAAUUUCGGGAUCAAUUUGUCGGUCGUGCCUCGGUACGUACUGGCAUUAUUGGUUUCUACCUUCUGAAGAACCUUGAUGUCAUUAAUUUGGUGUCUUGGGGAAUCAGGACUGUUACUUUGAAAAAAUUAGAGUGUUUAAAGCAGGCAUACGCUUGAAUACAUUAGCAUGGAAUAAUGAAAUAGGACGUUUGAUUCUAUUUUGUUGGUUUCUAGGAUCGACGUAAUGAUUAAUAGGGAUAGUUGGGGGCAUUAGUAUUCAAUUGUCAGAGGUGAAAUUCUUGGAUUUAUUGAAGACUAACUACUGCGAAAGCAUUUGCCAAGGAUGUUUUCAUUAAUCAAGAACGAAAGUUAGGGGAUCGAAGACGAUCAGAUACCGUCAUAGUCUUAACCAUAAACUAUGCCGACUAGGGAUCGGAUGAUGUUAUUUUUUAAUGACUCAUUCGGCGCCUUACGGGAAAC
rnacentral:rRNA from 1 species